AGCUUUGCGCAGUGGCGAUAUCGUAACCAAUGAAGUUCUACUGAGGUGCGAUUAUUGCUAGUUGAAAACUUUUACCAAUACCCCGCCAUGACGAUGUGAAAAAUCAUCGGCUUACGGCAAUUUUUGGUAACCCCUACGGGGG
rnacentral:snRNA from 1 species